GGGGAUAAAAACGGGGUCUAGAAAAGGCUGUUUAGGCUACCCCAUUUAAGUGAGGAAAUGUUGAUUUUCCUUUUUAUUUUCCUUUUAUUUUUCUUUAUUUCUUUUUCCCCAUUUCCCCUACCGUGCGGUUCCCUACUUCUCCCUCACCGAUCUCUCUUCCUUCUUCUCGAUCCUCCUCCUGUUCUCUCCCGAUCCAGCCGAGGAUCUCCCUUCCCCUUCCCAUUUUUCCUCCCGAGCCGAUUUCCCUCCUCAUACCUAGCACCGGCCUCUUCAUCUGCUCUUUCCCGAGCCGCAUCUAGGCGCCGUCGCCACCUGAGGCGAACGGAGCAGCGCCUAUCCACUGCCGGCGCACCUGUGCCCUAGCACCCACUGUGAUUUCUUCAGCCUGAGCGCCACUAGGGAGUCACCUUCCAGAACAACGCCGGUGUGGCGCUGUCUUCCCCGUGCCCUGUCUUCCUCGUGCCCUAGCACCGGUGUAGAUCCAGCAACUCUUCUUGAGCAUGCCUUAAUGUGGAAUCCUUAACCCUAGUCUCACCUCUCGUGCCCUAGUUCAUUAGUGUCGGAAGCCGAGGACCCUUGCAAGAGCUGAGGCCUCUUUCCGAUCCAAGUCGCCAUCUUUUGUCUGGCGACGACAGUAGGCCAUGAUUUCUGUCGGCGGUUAGAUCGGAGACAUUGCCAGCAACGAUUGGCUGCUGAUCCUUAGAGAGGAAGGGACCGUCGGCACAGAAUUUGGUAUAUAUGGUUCAUAUCAGAUUUUAUGCUUGUUUGGUUAGUAUAACUUCGGUUAAUACUAAUUUCGGGUGAUUCACAGUUCCGGCGAUUCAGCUUCAGCGGUGAACUCCUUGGGUCAUAUUCCACCAGCUGUAACAAGGUUGUGAUUUGAGGUAAGUUUGGGUUGUUGAUUUUUGAUCUUUGGUUCUUGAUCCGGACAGUGUAAAUUUGUUCCUAGUUAUGAGUUGUUUCGUUCUGUGAUAUGGAAUUUGUGGUUAUUUUUCCAGCAGCCACCCGUUUUCCGGCAGCCACCUUUUAGCAAUGAAUAGCCCUAUUGGGCAGCAACUCUUUGAUUCCAGCAACGAGAACGAAUGAGAAUUGAGGUAAGAAGUAUGGUAUCAAAUUUGGUAGGGAUGCGAGUUUAAUUUAUAGUUGGAGGUUGUGAUUAUUUGUCUACCAGCCUUUGUAGCUUGGCCAGCAUUGUUCACUGGCGAUCCACAGCACCGGUCAUUCUAUUUUGGGCAGGGAAACUCUUUGACCGUGAGCCAUCGGCGACCAUCCUGGAUUUGGGACUCUGGUUCGAGACGAGCACUUUGACGUGGAGAUUGUUUUCCUCGGUCUACAUUAGAGGCG